rnacentral:tRNA from 1 species
GACCGGAUAGCUCAGUCGGCAGAGCGUUGGCACGACAAGCCAGAGGUCACAGGUUCGAUUCCUGUUCUGGUCA